rnacentral:misc_RNA from 1 species
GUGUGAUCUUCGCCGAUCACCGGCUUCCUUUUCACCUCGGCCAAUUCACCCGCCGGUGGUUGAGUAGUCACUACUGCCGGCUCUGCCUCCUCUGCUGGUUUUUCUUGAAUCUCCUCUUCGAUUUUUCCAUUCAACAAUGGUUCAUCAAUGUGCUCUUCAACAUCAGCAGGUUUGUUCUUCAAUCGGUUCAGAUUCCAGCUCUUUACGAAAGAAUAAACUGGAAUUGCUAAUGGAGAAGCUAGAAGAACUAGCAAUAUAAUUGAAAACACUAAAGAAAAAGCACUGCUAGGAUUACUGAUGAAGUCAUACGCUAACAAAUAAACUGCGACAACAAUGGCCACAGCGUUGAAGACUGAGAAAUAUUUGAACUCUUCUUUUUCUUCUUCGGCAGUGGCAGCCGGAGGAAUCUCACGCAGGAAGAGGAUGGCGGAAAGGCAGACGGCAAAGGGUAUAAUUGCGAGCAUGAGGAGGAAGCUAGCUGGGUUGUCGGAGAAGAGAGCAGAACAGAGGUCAGUGAAUAUGGCAGUGCUAAGUCCUACAUAACCUUUCAAGAUGCCAGAGACAGGGCCUCGGUU